rnacentral:rRNA from 1 species
UACGGAAGGCAGCAGUGGGGAAUAUUGCACAAUGGGCGCAAGCCUGAUGCAGCCAUGCCGCGUGUAUGAAAAAGGCCUUCGGGUUGUAAAGUACUUUCAGUCGUGAGGAAGGUGUUAAGGUUAAUAACCUUAGCAAUUGACGUUAGCGACAGAAGAAGCACCGGCUAACUCCGUGCCAGCAGCCGCGGUAAUACGGAGGGUGCGAGCGUUAAUCGGAAUUACUGGGCGUAAAGGGCACGCAGGCGGUUAAUUAAGUUGGAUGUGAAAUCCCCGGGCUUAACCUGGGAAUGGCAUUCAAGACUGGUUAGCUAGAGUCUUGUAGAGGGGGUAGAAUUCCAUGUGUAGCGGUGAAAUGCGUAGAGAUGUGGAGGAAUACCGGUGGGCGAAGGGCGGGCCCCCUGGGACAAAGGACUGACGCUCAUGUGCGAAAGCGUGGGGAGCAAACAGGGAUUAGAUACC